CCUUCGAGAGCUCAGCUGGUAGAGCGGAGGACUGUAGAUCCUUAGGUCGCUGGUUCGAAUCCGGCUCGGAGGA
rnacentral:tRNA from 1 species